rnacentral:rRNA from 1 species
UACGUAGGGGGCAAGCGUUGUCCGGAAUCAUUGGGCGUAAAGAGCGUGUAGGCGGCCCGGUAAGUCCGCUGUGAAAGUCCAGGGCUCAACCCUGGAAUGCCGGUGGAUACUGUCGGGCUAGAGUCCGGAAGAGGCAAGUGGAAUUCCUGGUGUAGCGGUGAAAUGCGCAGAUAUCAGGAGGAACACCGAUAGCGAAGGCAGCUGGCUGGGACGGUACUGACGCUGAGACGCGAAAGCGUGGGGAGCAAACAGG